UUUUAAUUGAAACCUUUCGCUUAAUUUUCUCGACUUUCCUCACAAUGGCUUUUCUCUCAGCGAAGAAUAAUAACUUUUCUGAAGAACGAAGAACAAUAGUUUUUCCUCAAAAUUUCCGUCAAAAUUGAUCACAGAUUCCUUGUGGAAGAUUGAAGAGCUGAAGAACAUGAAUGUCCUCAUAGAUUCUUUGUCAAAAAAGAGUUGUUCAGCCGGAUUUCAUAUAUGAACAAAAUUCUUCAAACGAACACGACCCACGUCUUAAACCUUUCGGUUUGUUGGAAUAGUGUUUACCAGGUAAGGAAUUCUAUCUCUAAAAGUCUUAAGUCUAGAUUUAGGGCUUUGAUAUUCUUGUGUAUUUUGAAAGUCUAAAUUUUAACUUAGGGUUUUGAUAUUCUUGUGUAUUUUUAAAGUCUAAAUUUUGACUUAUGGUUUUGAUAUUAUUGUGUUAUUGAUACGAGUUUUGUUGAUUUUAGGGAGUCUAACUACUUUUUUCAUCUGUUGAAUAUUGAAUGUACUAGCUGAAACUAAGUCAUGUUUUUAUGAAGAAUUGAGUUGAAGCUUAAUCGUCUUUCUCUGAUGAACUAAUGAGCUGAAGAUGAAGAUACCUACGAUUCCUUCCUAAUAUCAAUUUGGAGAAGCGUAUGUAGCUACUCUACUAAUCAUCUUGUCAAUUGAUUUAAGUUUUGUUUUGUGUUUAGAAGAGGUAUAUAAGAAGGAAUUGAAUACUUUGGGGUUGUUGUAAUGGAACAAAUCACGAGUUACAGCUGAAAUUCCAAAGUACAUGAAGAAAGUACACAAAAUCGUGAACCUUAGGCAUAUUCAGGAGCUGAGAUAGGAAAUUACUACUCCGAAGAAUUUGAGUGAGUUAGUAUGUAUCCUUGAUAGAUUGUUUUAACUUAUGAUAGAAAACCCUCCAAGAUAAUUCUAAAGCACAUUGUAGAAUUGCAGUUACACAUUUUACAUGGAACUUUUGUGAAUUCUAUCUACAGAUUUCAUUUUUUUUCAAGAAUCAGAGUUUUUAAAGUUAUAUUAAGCAUGCACUUGUUGCAAAUGUUACUUAUGCAAAUUAUUAUGUAGCUAAUUGAUAAUCAGUGUGCAUCCUUUAUGUUAUAUGGGUAUCUGACAGCUAGAGAUGCUAAUCAUAUCAUUACAUGUACAAUAUAUGUUUACUACUCUUUUGGGUGUCGUAUUGCAUCUAUUUUUACAUUAAGGUUAUUGUAGUGACUUAUGCUAUCAUGACAAAACAAUCCCUUUUAGAACUGAAAAAUAAAGGCAUUGCAAGUUUUACUAAUGUUAACGUUGCUUGGCUUAUCCCUCUUUACAUAUUAAACAAUUGGAGGUUUUAUAAGGAUGAGUAAGUAAUUAAUGGUUGUUAGAUAACAGUUCUGAUAACACUCAUUUCAUAAUAUUGUUGUCUUACAUACUCAUUUGCCUCUUUUCCUUACUAUCUCUGCUUUUUUAUGCUAAAUGUGAUUUAGGACUUUGAUUUUUAUGGCCAAAUGGUAAUAUCUUGAGAGAUGAGAAGUUAUUUGUGGGUGGUUUAACUUGGUUAAAUAAAUAUGGUAUCCUUAUUUGCAUAUAGAAAAAUAGAAACAAUUGGAAAAAAUAGAAUUCUUUAGCAGUUCUUCUUGUGCAAGCAUAUGCUACUGCACAGUUUCUUUCUAGAGACUUGAGUUAUUCAUUUUAAUGUCAUUUAUGAAGAUAUAUACAACAUCUGUGAGGUCAACUGGUAUUGGAGUUUAAACUUCUAUGGGAAAUAUAUGGUCCAUACUUUCUCCUAUUAUUGCGGUGCAAUUUGUAAAAGGGUGCCAUCAAAUGGCUGCAAUCAUAUGUUUCAAGCUAUUGUAGUUUUAUCAGAAGCUAAUGUUUUGCUCAUUUCAGUACAGACAAAGUGAAGGAAACUAUAUGAUAGUCUUUCCAUCUUAAUGUUUAGACUUUUUUGAUUUUAGAUAUAUUGAUGUUAUCAAAAUAGGUGUUCAUCAUUCUCAGUUACCUAUGUAUGAUUGGAUUGAAUCAGUAUGAUGAAGUUUUACCUGCAAGAAUAGUUGAUCAUGGUCAAUGGUCAUAUGUUUGUAUUGCGCUAGAGCCAGACCCACUUUUCAUGUUCAUGUGUUUCUAAAAGUUGCCCCCACGGUGUUAUGUUAUUCAUGGUCCAAUGGUAUCUGAUAGAUUGCCAUUUCAUCUAUUACUGUUAUUAGUUGCAGUUUCUUGUUCAUGGGGUCCUCAUUAGAGGCCGAUGACAAUUGAUGGUCUUUAGCCUUGAAUUAUCUGGUAUGUUUUCAUUGGAAAAGACCUUUUCUUAUUUUUCCUAUAUGACAUACGAUACAAAUGUUAUAGCUAGACGUUAGUGUAUUGUAGAGUGCUGAUACAUUCUUAAAUCUACGCUUGAUUCUCGAGUGUUGAUACAACUAAAGUGCACAGUUUGAACCUUAUAUUCUUAUGUUAAUUUUUCUUUACAAAUACUGUAGGAUGACGAACAAAGAAUAACUAAUUUGUUUGCACUAUUGAAGUAAAUAACAGACUUUCCAUGGGGAUAGACAUAUUAAUAGCCAUGUCGGGAGAUGAACUUCUUACCUCGUCAACCAUUUUUGGUGGAUUAGGUCUCCACACGUUUAAGAGGAGAACUAGUAAACAGGUGCACUCAACUAAUUGCCAUUGUUAUCUUCCUUUGUCUACAUUUUGACUGUCUUUCAUUCUCAUACAUAAAACAUAACGAGGUUUAUUUCUUGUUGUGGAUCUUGUUAAUGAUAUUUGGUUAUAAGUUAAUAUCUUGAUGGUGUAGUUGACCAUGCCUAUUAUGGCACUACAUAAAAUAAAUAGAUGUAUUUACCUAAUACCAAAGCAUUCUCUAUGCUUGUAGCAAGUUGUUGAAUUGAAUGCUUGUAGCAAGUUGUUGAAUUGAAUGCUUGUAGCAUGUUGUUGAUUCUUGUGUCCUAUUAGUUUAAAAUGUAUUCCCUCUUGUCUGUGAUAUUCAGAUCUGAAGGUCAAUUCUUAACCAAUCGUAGUAGUGUUCUCCCUCGCUUUUGUUCCUAUGUGGAAUAAGGUUGUGUGUUUUUGCUUGUUUAAAUUUCUCGAGUCCCUUAUAAUGUUUCAACUCAGAAAUCUUUUGUAGAUAUAUAAGCAUAACUCUGAAAAUGCCAAAUACUACUUAACUAACUCCUAGAUAUUCAUAUAUAGGUCACGAUGGAAGAGAGUACUUGUUAAUGUCGGAUGAGGACUUUAUAAGGCGAUGAAGUUUCAGGUCCUAACGAACAGAAUCGCAACAAGUGUGUAUCUUUUUUGUUGCAUUUAAAGUAAGCUUUUUUUCACUAUAUCUUUUUUAACCCAUCCUGUGCAAUAUUUCAAGCUGUUGAGGUUCAUAAUAAAUGUAGUUUAUGAAUUUUCAGUUUUAGUUAAAUAACAUUUUGAGUAUGAGGUGCCAUUGUUUAUACUGUCUUUAUAAUUUCUGUAUAACAUCAAAGGUGAUUGAUUUAUAAAUUUUUUUCUUCAAGUUCAAAAUUUUGUGAUGAAUCUUUUAAAACUCCAUUCAAAUAUGUUACUUUGUUAUCCUAACUAUUAAUCUAUAUGAAUGAUAAAAUUUAAGCACUGAUUUAAUAUUCUAGUUAUUUUUCAAAUUCUUAAGUUAAUUUCGUAAUCCAUUAGAAUCGAACGCUUCAAAUUACUGAACCAAAUCACUACUACAUGUAACCUCCAGAAUGUUUUGGUACUCAGUGUUUGUCCUUAUCAAGAUUUAUUGGUGUUAUGCGUGUAAAGUGGUAGGUGAGGGCAUGUAUCAUUUUCUUCUACAUUGCGAGCUAUCCAUUAGGUUAUGUUGGGACAUGUUUAGUAGAGAAAAGGUAUUUCUCUAUAUAUAGGAUUUAGAUCAAAAUUGUAUGUUAACUCACUUGUAUGAUUGACUUUAUUUUUGUUUUGUUUUAAUCAUCAGUGCUAGAAAAUAUGCAACUGCUAUAUAUUGAGUGACAACCACUAUUUUUUAGGUUAUCUAGUUUAUCUAUUUUCCAAUUGUUUAAACCAAUCAGACAAUAGGCAUCACACGAUAUCUCAUUAUAACUUCAGUUUAAUAGCAUUGUAUCUUGGUGUUUGUUCACUUCUUUUUCCUAUGUUCACUUAUUUCAUUCUUAGCUCAACUGUAUCAAAUUUCGUAGAUGAGCUUUUUUAACCAUUUUCUCGUGGCUUCUCGUGUAGAAUGGUGCUCAAUACCGAUCCUAGUAUGGCUACUAUAUCAUGGAUUUAUGGUAGUAAAACUGAUUCAUCAUGAUCUACAUUCUCUUCGGGAAUAUGAUUCAAUUUGUUAGUCAUAUCGUUCUAUAUUAUGCUUAUACUAAUCAAAUGGGUCACACCAAAAGAACACUCUCAUUGCCUACUAACCAGCAAAUGUGCUAUGACGACCGAUUCACAAGCUACUUGAUAUUUUUUCACUUAGUUGAUCUAGAUUAUAUUCUAGAUGCUACAUACUUUUGAAUGAUGUUUUUUUAACAAACCGUCUUUCGUUCUCAAUUCAGUAAUUUACAUUCUUAUCUCUCUUUUUAGGAGAAGCAGUUCUGAUUUAUUGUAGACUUGUUAUAUACUUUUGAGACAUGUUUUCUUGUAUUGCAACUAAGUCAGUCCAAGAUAUUUUUUUUCUUCUUCGUUGGUUGUUGAUAUAGUUUUCAAUAAGAUAUAUUUUUUUGUACAGACUCACAUGUACUUUAUAAAAUUUAAGAUAGUCUCUUCAUCAUAUCAAAUCCAAAUAACUAAAAUCCCUACUUCUAUUCAUGUAUAUUCAAUGUUUUUUUUUAUUAUGUUUAAGUAUCCUCUCUUGAUAAAGGAUGAAAAGGUUGUUAUGUGUUUCAUGAGAUCUACUUGAAUUCCUUUCGAAGGCUCUAAUUUAUUCUACAACUUUGGGGGUCGAGGCCAUUUGUCCGCGCAAUCAGAAGGAUAAACAAGAACAGUACAAUAAAAGUAUAAGUACAAAUUUGAAAUUGGAACUGCUUUAAGAUGUUGGCAUGAUGUUAUGUGCUUGUUUUGUUAUUUGAUGCAUUCACAUAGUCGAUUAAUGUUGACAUAUUGAAGUAGCUAUGCUGCAUUAUUUUUCGUGAGCUAAUUAUAGUAAUUUAAUAUAGACUGUUGAUUUGAUAGUUGAAAACAGUAAAUUUCUCCUCUUUAAAUAUAAAGGAUUUCUCUCACUUGAAAUAUUUUUUUCAUUGGUUAGAAAUAGUAUUAGAGUUAUAACAUGCCUUUGUAUAGUCUAUGGAUUACCCUAUGGUUGCAUUCAUGAACCUUAUUUCUUUGUCGUUUAUUUAGCUUUUGAAUGAUAAAUGUUGGCAUUGAUGAUCUGUAUCUUGAAGAAUUUCAGACAUCUUAUCAAUUAGUAUAUGUUAGAAGAGAUGAAUUGGAAAGAUCGAUAUUGUAUUGAACAGGCAGUAUAUAUUCUUUCCUUGAAUGUUUAUCUUUGUCGUUGUAUUAAUUUAUGAAUGAUAAAAGUUGGCAUUGAUGAUAUGUAUCUUGAAGAAUUUAAGAUAUCUUAUCAAUUAGUAUAUGUUAGAAGAGCAGAAGUGGACAGACCUGUAUUGUAUUGAACAGGCAGUAUAUAUGCUUCCCUUAAAUGUUUAUCUUUUUGUCAUGAACCCGUGUCAAAUUGAUGGUGAUUGGGGUCCAACGUGGUGGCCUAGCGGGGCUGACAAAUUGAAGUAAUAACCUUAAUCAUUUGUCCGAGUAGAGGCAACACAAGCAUGGAAGCUGAAGCAAUGGCUCGAGAUGGCUUGAUGACACAUAUUUCCUGGAUUCCUACUUGCAUAGUGAGCCUUUCAUCAUCUACCGCGUUUUCAUACUCUUAUGUAUCUUUCUUCAGAAGAUGUGAUUUCUGCUCCUUCGUGUACCGAUUUUUCUCAGAAUAUCCCUAUCCUUCGUCCGUUAAUUUGAGUUAAUACUUAACUUUGGAUUUCUUAUGAUGUGCAUUUAAUUUUUCCCACUUUAGUUAUACUUAUUCUUCCUACUUCCGAUAUAAAUCAAUCGAUGUUGCUUUCACAGCUUUCCCAGUUUUCAUUCUUGAAUUACUAUUGGUUCAUAAUUAUGGAUUUAACUAUUAGUUAAUUUUGUGCUUUAGGUCAUUUGUAUGUAAUUAUAUGUGAUAUUAUAUUGAAUAUAUGCAAUUCAAAAACAUUGUUAUAGGACGUCCAAUGUUAAAGUUAUGCUUUAUUAGUGUUUAUCUAGAUAAGAUAUAAAGUAUAAACUUUAUAAGUGUUGCUCUAGAUGAGAUAUAGAGUUAUGUUUUAUAAGUGUUGUUAGAUGAGACAUAAAGCUACACGUUUAAGUAUUUCUCUAGAUGAUAUAAAAAGUUACACUUUAUAAGUGUUUCUAUAGAUAAUAUAUAAAAGGCAACACUUUAUAAGUGUUGCUCGAGAUGACAUAAAAGGUAAAACUUAUUUUAAGUGUAACCAAUAACAGUGCAAAUGCAACACUUUUAAGUGUAGUAUAAUAUAAAAUAGGUGUCGCUAAUGCAUCACUAUAAAGUGUGCCCUUAUAUCUUUUAUGCUACGAUUUAUGAGUAUUGACAAAGAUGGCUACAUUGUAAAAGUGUUGUCUAAUGUCAAAGGUUACACUUUUUUAGGCCCCACCUUAAAAAGUGUUGAUGAAAGUCCAAAAGUGUAGACUUUUAUCAAAGGCCACACGUUUUCGAAGUAUAGGCUACAUUUUAGUGGUGUGGCCGUAGGCCUAAUAGAUAUAUUAGAGAGUAUCACACUAAAUCUAUGUUGAUAAUACUUUCUCAUGAACUACCUCCUUGGUUCGGCAAGUAGUAACAAGGCGAGUUCUAACGCGUGCACUCGUUAAAACGACUUCUGAACGAAAAUAUUAUAAAGUUCAUACAAAAACACUACUAACGAAUUGCUUAAUUACUACUUAUACUUUGUUAAUCCCUCAUGGUUCCCACAACCCUAGUUGUGGAUUUAGUUACCCAUGUUAACAAGAACACAAUUCAUAUUGAUAGAUGAAGAAAUCAUGAACAAACGUAGUAAUAAUAAUAAACCCAAAAAUCACACUUCAAAACAAAAGAUUCAAAAUCUAAUUUAGAAAUCAAUUAGUUGCCCAAAAUUGCAAAAACUAAUCUCCAAAACAUAAACUAGAACAAGGCUAAUAGUAGUUAACCCAAAAAAUGAGGUUUAAUCCCAAAUUUAUAGAAAACAUAAGCCUAAUUAAAAAGGAAUUCAAAUAAGGAAAGUUGUGUUAGCAGGUAAAUUCUAUCUACGAGACUACAGACGGGCUGUCCAUCGAUUGAGGUCUGUGGAUUGCUUCCGUCAGCUAGGACAUAGAGAAAUCUUUCAGCCUCAGUAUUUGUAUCUUCUCUGAAUCAAAAGACAGAUCAACAACAUGAUCCGUAGUUUCAUCUCCUGUUUGUCGAUGCUCCUCCGUGACUUCACACUUAGAAUCUUCAAGCAUCAGGUAAUGGAACGUGCAGUCAAAAACUACAUUUCACCAGUACAGUCCUUCGAUCAAUUGACAGAUCGUUGAUGUUAACUGUGGUUCCACACUUUGUCAGAAUUCCCUUAUUUCAUCUAAUGCCUGGGCUGCUCAUCUACGAUUAUUAUUUAAGGGACGUUGAUUAAAUCAUAGAAUGUCGAUUGGUCCCAACUGCACUUUCUCAAAUGUCUCCGUUAUUUUAUACUUGAACAUCUUGCUUUCAAAACAAGACACAAAUUUUUUUAAAACAAAUCCAAGAAGGCUUUAGACACACACAACCCUUACGUGAAAUGCAUUAGAAAUAUCGUGAACUCAUUGUACAUCACGUCCUAGACACACCCAAGGGAAUGGAGUAGCUCACCUUCAAUGCACCCAUACGCAGUCUCUGAACAUAGGGGUUGGCGCCCCACGCCCGAAACGCGCUGGGGUCGCCCACCCCUCUUCUUUUCCAUCAGUUGUCCCAUAUUAGUGCAUUUUAAGUUUGCCUUCACUACCUUUGAUUUUAAUCGCUAUAAACUACUUCCAAACACUUAUAAAUCAUUUAUAACAAGUUCAUGAAUUUGAAUUCAUAAUUCAAAUUCAAGUUAGAGUUAAGUGUUGUGUUUUUGAGAAUUCUUUCGAACAUACUAAGGAAGCCCCUUUGAGUACUUUUGUGGAGUCUUCUAAAACUUCUAGUAACUUGUAUCAAGACUCGAGCAAGUGAGUAUUAGGAUUAAGAGAAUGUAUUCAUGAUCCUAACUUGUUAUCACGUGAUCACUCCAUCUCAUGAACCAAACUCUUGAAUUCAUCAUUCACAUUCUAGAGAGCGUUAAAGAGCAAAGUUGAAGAAAUCAUUUGAGAUCAAUUGAGAAUCAUUUGAGAUAACUAUUGAUUUUAAUGAAGUUUAGAGGAGCAACUAAGAGAAUGAGAAGAGAUAAUGAUUUCCCUGUAGGUAUGUAGACCUCCGAGUCGAGUUGUUUCAUGCCUAUACUUCAGCAUGAACUUCGUAAGUUGAGCAUCUUUUAGAGAAAUGGUAUAUUCAAGUUCUAAAUAUUUUGUAGUGAGUUCCAAAUCCCCUAUGAGAUUAUAUUUAUAAUCAUGGACCUAUUACAUGUUACCCAUGAAGUCUUUGACUUGAGUAUUUCAUCUUGAGUACAUUAAGUUGUCUAUCUUGAAUUGAUAUGUGGUUCAUUGAGUGAAGUAUCAUAUCUUUGAAGUUGAAUAUCUAAUUUUUGAGAUGAGUAUCUAAUCUCCGAGUAGAGUAUCUUAUCCUUGGGUACUUUUGAGUUGCUUAAGUUGAGUAGUUUUGAGUAUCCUUGAGUACUCCUUGAGAUGUGUAAGUUUAAAAAUAGGUAAGUAUGUUUCCAUUUUUAUCAAGUUCAAGCUUAUUUUAUGCUUUGAAAUUAUCUUACAUGCUUGUACAUUUCACGUACUGUGCCAUUUGGCCUACGCUUUCUCAUGAUGCAGAUACAUGUAUUUUUUAUCAUCAACAGGAGCUUUGUUGAUACAUCCGAGAGUUCAAGUUUGCUAUGGUGAGCCUCCUUGAUUCCAUAGGAUUUCAUUUACUUUUCAAUUUAGUCAGGAUGUCGUGGAUCUUAACCCGAUUUCAAUCAUUAUAAGUUUAGUCAAUAUAGUUGAAGAAUCUAUAUUAAUAAUUUAUUUUAUUAAAUGUUUUAAAGACCUAAGUUGCCUAUUAUGAAAAAUUUAAUUUGUUAUAUUAUUCAUAGUUUUCUUUUUAGUUAAAGUUUUUAUUUUAGUUUGAUAAAUUUUAUUUUGUUUUAAGUUUUUACAUGCUUAAGUUAGUCUUCCACUUGUAGUCAACAAGUAUGAGGGUUCUCUUAGGGACCAACAGUGGUACUUGAGUGUCAGUCAUGUCCAGAGUGUCUAUUCUAGUGGUGAGACAUUCAAUUAUCCAACAAGGCAUAGAAGGUUGAGUACAGUUAAGAAUGUCAACGUGGUCAUCUUUUCUUAAGAGAGAAUAAGAUCAACUUGAUAUUUGAGCCUUUCCUCUAUGAUGAGUCUCCAACUCCGCAAAAUCUAGUCAAAUGUAGAAUCUUUAUAAGAAAACAUAAACAUUGAAACCCAUGAUGGUAAUUUACGUGUCCAAGUCGACGAAAUAUAGCCAUUCAUGAGGGACAAGGGUAGUUUAUAGAGUUCUUAUGCAAAAUCAUAAACGAAUUAGGAACUCACAAAUGAAAUCGAAUCAAAUAACGAGUUUAAAUCAUACUGAAACCCCAAUUUUUUUAAAACAUGAUAAAGCCUCAAUGUUUGAAUUUAAAAACAAGGAUUUAAUUAAAAAAUCAUGAAACAAUAAAUGGGUAAUAAAAGUUUGGGGUUAAAUUAACUUAAUCAAUUAACCUUGAAGUCCGUCUUUACAAAUUCCUUCCAAGAGUUUUCAAAUUUCAAAAAUAGUGAAAUGAGAAAGCAAUAUUGAUGUUAAGAAUAAAAAAAUCUUCAUGGUAGAUUACUUUACACAAUCAAAAACCCCUCCACGCGAUCAUUGAGAGAAUAUAUGGUUAAAUAAUUUAUAAUUAGGAUUUUGCGCUAAUUUUCUUUCCUUUUUCACAGUUUAUUUUUUAUGAAGGAAAUAUAAAGUAAUAUCAUAAAUUCUUUAAUUUAUUCCUGAAAAGGAAACAUUAUAAUUUUCCAUAUUUUAUGUAUUCUUUUUCCUUAGAGCAAACAUUUAGAACUCUAUAAAUUGAACACUCCUCUUCUCAUAUCAAAAGAACUUAAACAUCCACAAUGUAGUCAUUUAGAGACUUUUGUUUAUGGGCAGAUUUCCUCUCUGCAAUCUAAUGCUUUUUGUUUUUUAUUUUAUAAUAUGUAGGACAAAUGGUCAAAUUCCAUACACUAAUACAUUCAUUUUUAGUAUAAGUUGUUGUCAUCUUAUUUAUCAACCAUAUGUUUUCAAAUUAUAGGUUUUCAUUGACGCCGAAUAACAUUCGACCCAACAAGUGGUAUUAGAUCACAUGUUCCAAU
rnacentral:lncRNA from 1 species